GACGAACGCUGGCGGCGUGCUUAACACAUGCAAGUCGAACGGAAAGGCCUGCUUUCCCUUGUGGAUUGCGGGUACUCGAGUGGCGAACGGGUGAGUAACACGUGAGUGAUCUGCCCCCAACUUGGGUAUAAGCCUGGGAAACUGGGUCUAAUUCCCGAUAGGACUGCAGGGUGGUGCCUGUGGUGGAAAACGAUUUUCUAGUGGUUGGGGAUGAGCUCGCGGCCUAUCAGCUUGUUGGUGGGGUAAUGGCCUACCAAGGCGGCGACGGGUAGCCGGCCUGAGAGGGUGGACGGCCGCGUUGGGGCUGAGAUACGGCCCAGACUCCUGCGGGAGGCAGCAGUGGGGAAUAUUGCACGAUAGGCGGAAGCCUGAUGCAGCGACGCCGCGUGGGGGAUGACGGCCUUCGGGUUAUAAACUCCUUUCGACCGCGAGGAAGCCACCUGGUUGGAAGGGUGGUGACGGUAGUGGUAGAAGAAGCACCGGCUAACUACGUG
rnacentral:rRNA from 1 species